rnacentral:lncRNA from 1 species
AGAACUCAUUAUCAAAGCAUGGGUUGCUGAUCUUCGUAAUUGAAUCACGUGGAUUAGAGCUCCUUUAGAUUGCUCACAGCCGCACAAGGUGUCCAGCCUCUAUGGAUCAUCUACAUGGAGAUCGAUUGCUGAUCAAUCUCCUCAGGAGUGUUAGCUCAUGAAGAUCUUUGAUGGUUGAUUUAACUUUUUCUUCUUCAAAUCUCUUAUACACUUUAAAGAGGGAGAAGAACCAAGGAAGGAGGCAA